GCCAGCGUGUACCCCGCCUCACGCCCUAUGACUGCUGGGAUAGGUUCCAGCCCCCAUGACACGAUCUUGAAUAAGCAGUUGAAGGUGUGUUUGUAAAGCUGUUUAUUUUUAAGAUCAGGCUUGUCUGUUAUUUUCAGUGAUGGAUAUUCUUUUAUUGUGAUGAAAAUCUCAUGCACAAAUUCCAGUUUGAAUUGUUUUUAAUAUAUAAAUGGAUAGCAGCAUCACAAAAGUAAUACAUAAAAGUUAGUCCUACUUUAAGCAGCCUUUCACAUAUGCAUAAAUAAAAGCAAACUUAUACUCAUGGUGUUCUGCCACUUAACUAAUUUACAGGUUUAAGCCUGUUCUCACAUAUUUUAAACCCAAUAAUGUUUUUUUUCCCCCUGACAGUGACUUUUAAGCUGCACUUGAUACUUGUUUACUGUGGAUGUGAUGGACAGUAGGAUAAACUGAAAUCAGAGGCAACUCUAUUUAAAAGUAAUUUUUAUCCCCUGCCAGCAGUGCUGGGAUGGGAAAUACAGAAUCAUCCUCCAUCAGUGUGUCCAUCCAGCUGACUUGUUUUUUUCUUUCAGUGCUAUAAUACAUGAAUGCUGGCUCCAAUUCAUUCAAAUACUAAUCUGUAUAAUCUUGAUGUUUCCUGAAUAUUUGGGCUUUUGUCAGUCAGCAUUUUUACAACGGAGCCACUUUAAAGACUGUGGACUCUACACAUUAUGUCAUUGUUGAAUAAUGUUUUUAACCUCUGAUUUAGUAUUCCAAAACAUAUGAUUUAUUGUCUCGUACGUUUUCCCAUUUUCAUUAUUUUUCUUGAGUGUGACUUAACACAUGAAUGCUUUUGUUACUGCUGGUGGGGGUAACUUUACUCAGCCGUGAGGUGCCUUGUAUGGAUUACAGAAUUGAAAGUAAAUGCAGUUGAAAACAUGCUCAGACUGUUUAACUGGACCAAUUUAAAGUAUAUUGAGGCUAAACUGUAAGACACCCCCCCAUUGUUAUUCAUAUAUACACCCUUGGCUGCUGUGUAAGAUCCAUUGUUCUGAGGAUUCUGUGUUUGAAAAGGUUUCACAUUGUGAAUUUUGUGUAUUAUUUCACAGAUUGUAAACCUGGGUUUGAAGCAUGUGGUGUUUUCACAUGUGGUCUGGGUUCUAAAAGGGUGUUGAAUUGCUACUAAUGAUGCAACAGUCUGCUGUUAAAUGGUGUUCUUCUGUUGAAAAGUUCCCAAAUGAGGAUUUUUGUCGUUUUUCGUACAGUUUUUAUGCUAAGGAGUAGCUGUUCUUGCCCAUUAGAAACAGGAUCGUCUUUCAGACUUUUUUUGUUGGUUGCAUAUUUCUGCCAUAUCACAUGUAAUGCAGUGAUUUCAGUUUUAAAUAAAAUUUUA